AGGUGUGUAAAACUUUUUAUACUGACCGUGUAUAGUAUAAUCUCUUUAAAAAAAUUUAUAAUAUUUUGAAAAAUAUUUUUUAGAAUUCAUUUUCAAAAAUAUAAAAAAAAAUCAUUUUUUUUUAAACUAAAACAAAUUUACCCUAAAUAAUAACUACCGAAAGAAUCCCGAAGAAAGAAAACUCACCGGUUUAAAACAGUAUGUUGAGGGAGGAGGUCUAGCUCAAAUGCAUUUGGAGCUUCAAUGUGAAGCUCAAAUGGCUUCUCAAUAGAGCUCUGUGUAGGGUUUCUGUUAGAGAGGGUGGAGAAGAUGAAUGAGAGUGAAUCGUGAAAUGGUGAAGAGAGGUUGUGAUUUGUGAUCUCUUUCUCAUGAUUGCAAUGUUGAUUGAAUAUAUAGAGAUGAUUUCUGUAAGUUGGUUAGAAAAUGAAACUCAAAUUCAAUAGUUAGUUAGAAAUGAAGAAUUGGUUAGAAAUGAAAUGAAAUGGAUUUGCAUUUGAAUUUGAGUUUAACUUUAAUUUGGUUUUAACUUCAGUUUGCAUUUAUGCUGAAAUGAUACUGCAAGGAAUGUUAACGUUCUGUCAAGUGAAAUUAUGCAGGGUGCUUUGUAUUAUGAGCUUUGACUUAGUGUGCUGUUGGACGGAUUCACAAGGUUCUGUUUGGAGCCUUCAGUUGGUAUGCUUUGUGUGCAAAAUGCAAGGUUCACUUGUCCUGCUGAAAUUGGAGGGUUUACUCGUUAUUUGGAAAUUCAAAUGGGUAAUGGCUUUGGAUUAAAGGCUACUUGAAGAAAGUGCUCCUGACUUGGUGUGUUACACUUUGAAGGGCCAUGGUUUAUUUUUUGGGUUUUAUGUUAAAUUCUGCACUGUUGAGAAAAAGGAAUAUAUUAGUGAGUUACCGAAUCAUUAGCUAAUUGGGCGAUUUGAGUUGUUUCCAUAGAUGGCAGGCUCUACCAAUCCUCCACACGAUGCGGUUCCAACAUGAGUUGAAAAUGGAGUUGUUGUUGCGUUAAUGGCUGAACUUCAACUGCCUUUGUUUCUAUUGAAAUUAUGCAGGUAGAGGGAUACAAAAUUUCUUCUAUUCGGUGAGGUCCGGAUUUUGAUUAGAAGCUGCAUGUACGAGACCUCCUUCUGUCACACUUUCUUGUUACGAUGAACCAGACUUUUGGCCCGAGCAUAACGACAAUGAGUUUGAAAGCAGCAUGGAACAAUACUGCUCAAGCUGCAAAUUGGAAAGCUGCGCAGGAACCCAAAACUCAGAACUGCAUUUAAGUGAAAUAUUGUUCCAAUUGACUCUUCAAAUUGGAGAUGCUUGCAGAUGAGACAUGUAACCCAUCAUUUCCUGACUUAAGGAAUGAAACAGGUCUGAUGUAAUUUGCACGAUCUUCCAUGACUUGUCCAUUUAUGAGAAGGAGCCUUGUCUCAACUUUUAGAAUAUUGAAAUUGUCAGUGUCCUAAAACUCUGGAUCGAUGACAUUCAUCAAUUAUUAUUGCUUUCCAUUAAAGGCAUCUCAAUGCAUGUAAGUCCUCAUUGAUGAUAGUAAUAUUUGAAAUGAACAACCACCAUCUUCAAUAUAAAAUUCUAAUGAUCUGA